rnacentral:rRNA from 1 species
UACGGGGGGGGCAAGCGUUGUUCGGAAUUACUGGGCGUAAAGGGCUCGUAGGCGGCCAACUAAGUCGGAUGUGAAAUCCCCAGGCUUAACCUGGGAACUGCAUCCGAUACUGGAUGGCUUGAAUUCGGGAGAGGGAUGCAGAAUUCCAGGUGUAGCGGUGAAAUGCGUAGAUAUCUGGAGGAAUACCGGUGGCGAAGGCGGCAUCCUGGACCGACACUGACGCUGAGGAGCGAAAGCCAGGGGAGCAAACGGG